ACUUUUCUUAUCAGCUCCUUCAGAUUAAGAGUAAUUCAUCAAUCCUUUCUUGCAGCCCUCUCUAAAUGUCCAAAGUCUUACUACACAAAAGCAGCGUGACCAAGAAUAUCAAGGAUCUUUACUCAAAUCUUCUCUGAACGCAUCAUAUAUCUUACUCCAUUAAUCACCACUGACAAACCAUGCAGUCCUUGGGGAAACUGCAGCAUCUGUCAAUAAGAAACUUUUCUCCAGGCUACUUCCUAACUAGUCAUUAAGAACGUCUUUCAUUUAAAAAUAAAAAUACACACAACUGGAAGCAUUUUUCCUGUUCUUUCGUUAACUUCAUUUUACUUGAUAAGUUCCACAGCUGUUACUGCUGAGGCGAGAAAUAUUUCCUUUCCAUCACUUCCAACUUAUUUUAAAGAUUUAGUGAUUAAGUCACCUUUCCCACGAGUUUAAUCUUCUUUAAAAGUUUUAGAUGUUUAUCUUACGUGUUUCUAUAAUUUAUCUCAAUCAGCUCGUAAUUCUCUCUCUUUCCUGGUUUUAGCAUAGCCUUUGGCAGACACCUGCCCAGAAUAUAUUAAGAAUAAAAUUCAGCACUGGUGUAAGUAUAACAGUUUAAAGAUGUUAAAUUAGAAUGAGCGGGUUUCUGAUAUGCAACACAAAUGCAAAUACUAAUUGACUCGGUGGAGAAGGUAGGGUAUGAGCAAGCAACUGAAGGGCUUGUUGAUUCAGUGGCUGCCCAUUUUACCCCUGAAGCAUAAAUAAGCGGUCAGGUUCUUCUACUGCAGCAACAGGCCUGAGCUUAAGCUACAGUUUUACCAGUGCAACCUCCUUUCAGCCAGAGUGCUCAGCGGAGGAGGUUGCUGAGAGCCGGGGCAGCUCGCCGGGCAGCAGCUCCCACUGCCAGCUUCGCCAGUGCGGGACAGGACGGAGUCUCAAGCUGGCCCGGCCGCGGGCAGCCGCAGACCGCCCUCUCCUCCGCUCUCCCACGUCCUGCAGCUCCCAGCCACUCCAGAGGCACGCAGGCUCCAACGGCAAGGAGCAAGCGCUGCUUCGGCGCUGCCUUCAGCACCUGCCUAUCUCUAGAAGACCCCUCAGCAAGACUCAGUAUGGCUUUUGUAUAAGCAGUGAAGGGAUGUACAGAGCUAUGGCCUGACUAUCCAACUGGACGGGAAUUCCCUAUGGCAAGCAGUUCAAACCAGAGCUGGCAAGCCAUCUUCCAAGGACCUCAUUGCAAGGAGGAGAGCUGGCUUGGGAGCAGAAGCAGUGUGCCAGAGCCGCAGCUGUCUCAUGCUGGCCUGAAGACGUG
rnacentral:lncRNA from 1 species